UCCUACGGGAGGCAGCAGUGAGGAAUAUUGGUCAAUGGGCGCAAGCCUGAACCAGCCAUGCCGCGUGCAGGAUGACGGUCCUAUGGAUUGUAAACUGCUUUUGUACAGGAAGAAACACCCCGACGUGUCGGGACUUGACGGUACUGUAAGAAUAAGGAUCGGCUAACUCCGUGCCAGCAGCCGCGGUAAUACGGAGGAUCCAAGCGUUAUCCGGAAUCAUUGGGUUUAAAGGGUCCGUAGGCGGCUUAAUAAGUCAGUGGUGAAAUCCCUACGCUUAACGUAGGAACGGCCAUUGAUACUGUUAGGCUUGAAUUAUUAGGAAGUAACUAGAAUAUGUAGUGUAGCGGUGAAAUGCUUAGAGAUUACAUGGAAUACCAAUUGCGAAGGCAGGUUACUACUAAUGGAUUGACGCUGAUGGACGAAAGCGUGGGUAGCGAACAGGAUUAGAUACCCUGGUAGUCCACGCCGUAAACGAUGGAUACUAGCUGUGGAAGCAAUUUCAGGGCUAAGCGAAAGUGAUAAG
rnacentral:rRNA from 1 species